GGGUUGUUAGCUCAGUUGGUAGAGCAGCAGACUCUUAAUCUGCGGGUCGCGGGUUCGAUCCCCUCACAACCCAUCA
rnacentral:tRNA from 1 species